rnacentral:rRNA from 1 species
UACGUAGGGUGCGAGCGUUGUCCGGAAUUAUUGGGCGUAAAGGGCUCGUAGGCGGUUUGUCGCGUCGGGAGUGAAAACCCAGGGCUUAACCCUGGGCUGGCUUCCGAUACGGGCUGACUAGAGGUAUGCAGGGAAGAACGGAAUUCCUGGUGUAGCGGUGAAAUGCGCAGAUAUCAGGAGGAACACCGGUGGCGAAGGCGGCUCUCUGGACGGAUACUGACGCUGAGGCGCGAAAGCGUGGGGAUCAAACAGG